GUGGGGAAUAUUGGACAAUGGGCGAAAGCCUGAUCCAGCCAUGCCGCGUGUGUGAAGAAGGUCUUCGGAUUGUAAAGCACUUUAAGUUGGGAGGAAGGGUAGUAAGUUAAUACCUUGCUGUUUUGACGUUACCGACAGAAUAAGCACCGGCUAACUUCGUGCCAGCAGCCGCGGUAAUACGAAGGGUGCAAGCGUUAAUCGGAAUUACUGGGCGUAAAGCGCGCGUAGGUGGUUUUGUAAGUUGGAGGUGAAAUCCCCGGGCUCAACCUGGGAACUGCCUCCAAAACUGCAUGACUAGAGUACGGUAGAGGGUAGUGGAAUUUCCUGUGUAGCGGUGAAAUGCGUAGAUAUAGGAAGGAACACCAGUGGCGAAGGCGACUACCUGGACUGAUACUGACACUGAGGUGCGAAAGCGUGGGGAGCAAACAGGAUUAGAUACCCGGGUAGUCC
rnacentral:rRNA from 1 species